rnacentral:rRNA from 1 species
UACGUAGGGGGCAAGCGUUACUCGGAAUUACUGGGCGUAAAGGGUGAGUAGGCGGCUGGGCAAGUCAAGGAUGAAAUCCCGAGGCUCAACUUCGGAACUGUCCUUGAAACUGCUCAGCUUGAGGGUAGUUGAGGAGAGCGGAAUUCCCGGUGGAGCGGUGAAAUGCGUAGAUAUCGGGAGGAACACCGAUGGCGAAGGCAGCCCCCUGGGCCUGUACUGACGCUCAUGCACGAAAGCGUGGGGAGCAAACAGG